rnacentral:rRNA from 1 species
UACGGAGGGUGCAAGCGUUAAUCGGAAUUACUGGGCGUAAAGCGUGCGCAGGCGGUUUGUUAAGUCCGUUGUGAAAGCCCCGAGCUCAACUUGGGAAUUGCAGUGGAUACUGGCAGGCUGGAGUACGGUAGAGGAAGGUGGAAUUCCCGGUGUAGCAGUGAAAUGCGCAGAUAUCGGGAGGAACACCGGUGGCGAAGGCGGUUCUCUGGGCCUGUACUGACGCUGAGGAGCGAAAGCGUGGGGAGCGAACAGG